UGGGGAAUUGUUCGCAAUGGGCGCAAGCCUGACGACGCAACGCCGCGUGGAGGAUGAAGAAUUUCGGUUCGUAAACUCCUGUCGAGCGGGACGAACACCGUGCGAGUGAAUAUCUCGUGCGGCUGACGGUACCGCUAAAGGAAGCCCCGGCUAACUCCGUGCCAGCAGCCGCGGUAAUACGGGGGGGGCAAGCGUUGUUCGGAAUUACUGGGCGUAAAGGGUCUGUAGGCGGCCAACUAAGUCAGACGUGAAAUCCCUCGGCUCAACCGGGGAACUGCGUCUGAUACUGGAUGGCUUGAAUCCGGGAGAGGGAUGCGGAAUUCCAGGUGUAGCGGUGAAAUGCGUAGAUAUCUGGAGGAACACCGGUGGCGAAGGCGGCAUCCUGGACCGGCAUUGACGCUGAGAGACGAAAGCCAGGGGAGCAAACGG
rnacentral:rRNA from 1 species